UGUCUACCAUUUUUUGAACGAAUAUAUCUUUUUUUAUUGUUUGUGAUAUUUGUUGUCUUGAUAUCAGUUUCAUUGAAGUUGGACGUUUUUGCGUGAAUACAAUUUGCUGUAGGUCGUAGAAAGUACUUUUCUUUAAUUUUUUUAUUGUUAACAUUCACUCGUAGACGUAGGAGUUUUCCUUGUAAAGUCAGUGACACUAACGUUGUAAUAAAGUUUUAUAUUUCCGGUUCAGUAGCUAACAAAAUGCCUUAUUUCCUCAGGGCAUGGUUGUCAUAGCAACGUCGCAGUUGUCACGGCAACUUUGAAGCGCGUGAUAAAUGAGAGCUGAAGCUAUCCGAGAAUUUACAGCCUUUUUAAAACCACGUGCGUCUUUAGCUAACUUCUGUCAUCGUUUUAGCACUACACUGUCAGCUGAGCUGCCUUCACGCUGAAAUGUAAACGCCAGUGUUUUGAAAAAAAAUCGUGUUUUUCGAGUAAAAAGCGCUUAAAGUAGGGGAGUCGUUAGCUAAACGAAGCAGAGAUGUCAGGAAGCAACAGUCUCCCUCCGUUACAGCAUUUGCCACAUUGGCCCAGAGCUGGGUGUCUCGCUAAACCGUGCUCUCCGCUACCUUUACCGGUGAACCCACCGCAGCAUCCCCUGCCUGCUGUCAUCCAGCUGAAGGCCAGAGGAGUGGAGUUCGCCGCCGCUGAAGCAGCGGAGGAGUCCGGUCUCAGCGGCGAGGAGGACCCCCGCAUCGCCUCGCUGCAGAGGAAUAUCGAGUUUCUGCAGCGACAGCACUCGGAAACUCUUGAGAAGCUGCAUGUGGAAAUUGAGUAUCUCAGGAGGAGGAACAAAGAACUGCAGUAUAAGCUGAUUAUGGAGUCUUCUAAAUCAAGAGGAGUGAAACAAAGUCUCCGAGACAAAAGGCCACCCACCCAGGGCAGUGAGGCCCACACAGGACCCUACAUGGAGGCACCGCUGCAAGAUACAUGGCCCUUACAGGACCGGACUUUUAGAGGUUUAGAAGAAGGUAGUAAGUGUCUGAGAUCAGCCAGGCCGCAGCGUGGAGCCGACAUGAUGGGGCACCUCAUCACUUCCUUACAACCUCUACGAAUCAACAGCGGUCUGUCUCAUCCCCCGCGAGCUCCCACGCUGCAGGAGUGUGAGGUCAUCAUUCGACAGCUCUACAACGCCAACAGCUUACAGUCUCAGGAAUGUACCAGGAGUGAAGGAGCUGUUCAUAGCCUCCACAGUGGAACGCAUUGGAUAAUACGUGUGAAGGCCCUGCUGAGAGACAUCGUUCUGAGUAAAAAAGUCACCCCAGAAAACUACAUUCUGACCAAAUCAUACCUCACCAAUGGCCCUAGGUAAACAAAUCUUUAGAAGAAAAGAAAUUUCCCAAACUUGGUCAUCAGUUGUUUGGAGAGAACGUGUCUAGACCCUCUCAGUCUGGAGUUGUCCUCCCAGCCCUAAAGCAGAGCCUCAACUCCAGCAUCGCAGAAAGACAGAGGAGGACCCGUGCGAUGCAGAGAGACCGCUUAAAAAAGACUCUGUGGUGACUGAUCGAAACCUCCACAGCAUCAGACUUAGCAAUAAAGCUAUUGAUGCUUUUUUA